rnacentral:rRNA from 1 species
UGAGGAACAUGACCUUCGGCGGGGGAUAGCCGGCCCAACGGCCGGGUAAUACCGCGUACGACCUGUUGGGGACAUCCCCGAUUGGUGAAAGCAGCAAUGCGCCGAAAGAGUGCCUCGCGGCCUAUCAGCUAGUUGGUGGGGUAAUGGCUCACCAAGGCGACGACGGGUAGCUGGUCUGAGAGGAUGGCCAGCCACAUUGGGACUGAGACACGGCCCAGACUCCGUACGGGAGGNAGCG